rnacentral:rRNA from 1 species
GACGAACGCUGGCGGCGUGCUUAACACAUGCAAGUCGAGCGGUAAGGCCCUUUCGGGGGUACACGAGCGGCGAACGGGUGAGUAACACGUGGGUGACCUGCCCUUAGCUCUGGGAUAAGCCUGGGAAACUGGGUCUAAUACCGGAUAUGACUCCAUAACGCAUGUUGUGGGGUGGAAAGCCUUGUGCGGCUAGGGAUGGGCCCGCGGCCUAUCAGCUUGUUGGUGGGGUGAUGGCCACCAAGGCGACGACGGUAGCCGGCCUGAGAGGGCGACCGGCCACACUGGGACUGAGACACGGCCCACGACUCCUACGGGAGGCAGCAGGUGGGGAAUCUUGCGCAAGUGGGCGAAAGCCUGACGCAGCGACGCCGCGU